rnacentral:lncRNA from 1 species
UCGCAAUCGGUGGUUGUGGAGGUUUCCGUUGGCUAUGAAGUUUUUUUGGGCGUCACAUUGUGUGUUUGAGGUAGGGUUCUAAUCGCUGCUUUCUUGUUUUUUACAAGUUGAUUUUGUUUCAAAGCUAACAUCAGAGAAAUCAUUUUGUUUAAUCUUUGGCAUUUGAGUGAGAAACUGCAUUCCUGUCUCUCAUAAUCUUAGUCAUUGGUACCUUCCUAGCAUAAGAAGGGUGGCCAUUGGGUUUGUGCCCGGUGACUCUGAAAAAUUUGUCUUUUAUUAACUUUCCAUUCCAAAACUAGAGUUCCUAUGAACUGCUUAAAGAUUGACUCUGAAAAAUGAAGGCUUUUAUUAUUUUUCCUUUCCCCAGUUAAUAGUACUCUUAGCA